AUUGAACGCUGGCGGCGUGCCUAAUACAUGCAAGUCGAGCGAGACUCUUCGGAGUCUAGCGGCGGACGGGUGAGUAACACGUGGGCAACCUGCCUGUAAGACUGGGAUAACACCGGGAAACCGGUGCUAAUACCGGAUAAUCCUUUUUCUCUCAUGAGGAAAAGGUGAAAGUCGGUUUCGGCUGACACUUACAGAUGGGCCCGCGGCGCAUUAGCUAGUUGGUGAGGUAACGGCGCACCAAGGCGACGAUGCGUAGCCGACCUGAGAGGGUGAUCGGCCACACUGGGACUGAGACACGGCCCAGACUCCUACGGGAGGCAGCAGUAGGGAAUCUUCCACAAUGGACGAAAGUCUGAUGGAGCAACGCCGCGUGAGCGAUGAAGGCCUUCGGGUCGUAAAGCUCUGUUGUUAGGGAAGAACAAGUACCGGAGUAACUGCCGGUACCUUGACGGUACCUAACCAGAAAGCCACGGCUAACUACGUGCCAGCAGCCGCAGUAAGAC
rnacentral:rRNA from 1 species